UAACCUACCGCGGCCACUGGUCAGGAUGUU
rnacentral:piRNA from 1 species